GGUGAGCAAACGGAACUCUUCUGACUGGCGUUGCCUUUGAAUCAUCUCAACUCCCAGGCAGAGAUGGCCUCAGCUUCAGGCUAAGUGCCACAGACCAAAGAACAAAAAGCUGGACAGAUCAGGCUCCCCUGCUAGCAAAUCAGGCUGCAAGCUUCUCUGCAUCUUCUCUGUUACUGAGCAAUGGCAAACUCGCCCCCUCUCCGCCCCCAUGAGGAGCAGUGCAGUCCAGUGAGGACCAUCACGUGAGAAGGGGAAUUUCGUGCAGGUGCCAGGUGCUGGACUGAGCCAUGGAGGUUAGAGUCAUCGGCCCACAGAGCACAGCUGUUCCUUGCAGGUUUUCAGUUGGCAAAUAUGAACUGGGAGAGAAAAUGGGAGCAGAAUUUCUGCAUUUUAAGACAAGGCUCUUCUGCUUCCCAUCACCAUCGGGCUCGAUGGCCCCCUUUUUGCCAAGCACCUGAAGGAGAAUGUGUGGUCUAGUGGUCAGAGCUGGGGAGCCGGCAUCAGGAAAGCAUGGUUCCUAUUCCUUGGGUGAGUUCCAACCUUUCUGUGCAUCAUUUUCCUUGUCUGUCACAUGAGGGUCAGCCAUUUUAUUGUCUAUUAUUUGCAAAAUGCUUUGAGAUCUGCCUGUAUGAAGGUGCUCUUGACAUGCUAAAGACUCCCUUGCUAAAGGUGCUCGGGGUUAGUGGAUUGAAGCAUGACGUGCUUUCUGAAUCAAAGCAUCUGACACACUAACAACACUUCUUGGCUAUGCAUUUGUAUACAUCCAUCCCCCUCCUGCUGCUACCGAAGUCAGUGAGAGGUUUCAAAGGGAGGAAGGAGUUGGGACCAACGGCCCCAUCAAAUCCUGGCAUGCAGCAGGGCCAUGGUACCCCUAUUUAAUCCCCCUUCUCAGGGCUAAAUGUGGCCUUUCUGGCAUCUUGUCCCUGGGUUUAGAUGUGAGCUGCAGGACUUGAUCAUGCACAGCUUUGCCCUCUUUCUAAACUGGAAACAAAGCUGUCGGCCAUGAAGUGCCUGCCUCCAUCCCGUGCAGAGGAGGAAAUUGCUGACUGCAGCCCAGCCCUUGUCUGCUUCCUAUCUCAGGAAUGCAGAAAUCACCGUGGGAGCUGCCUUCCCCCGGCCCUGGAACAGGCAGUUUGCUGAGGAACUGCAAUAUGUUGGAAGAGCAGUUUUGGUUCCUCUGCCUUUCUCCCGUCUAGCUGUGAAUUUCACGCAGCCCGCUCUCCUAGCCCAGGCCAAGAGAACGCAUGGAUUUAAAUCCCACCUUGGCCGACCUGCAGCUUGCUGCGGAGAGAGGCAGACACAGGAGCCUCCUGUUGGCUGGUAGGAUUUACCUGUAUUCUGUUCUGGCAGCCAGGAUGAUGGUGACAGGUUGGAGGUGGGGUUUCGGACAAUAAUUAGUGACAGGUUUCAAAGUAACAGCCCUGUUAGUCUGGAUUCGCAAAAAGAAAAGGAGUACUUGUGGCACCUUAGAGACUAACCAAUUUAUUUGAGCAUGAGCUUUUGUGAGCUACAGCUCACUUCAUCAGAUGCAUACCGUGGAAACUGCAGC